GAAAAUUUCCAGGGAUGUCAACCGCCAUCCAAUUGUUCAAAAUUGUCUCACACAGGUAAAUUAAACAUGGCUCAUCUUCAUCUUCGAUGUUGUCUUCAAUUGUGUUGACCUAAUCUCCAUGAGUGAAUCCUGUACUGAGGAAUACUUCCUGGAUGCUUCGGGUGUUGUCCUUUGCAGGGACCCAAGCUUCUUUUGCAGCGAAAGGCACAUAUCCCAGACCGAAAUGAUCAUUCUUUU
rnacentral:lncRNA from 1 species